rnacentral:rRNA from 1 species
UCGACCUGAGCUCAGGCAAGAUUACCCGCUGAACUUAAGCAUAUCAAUAAGCGGAGGAGAAGAAACUAACAAGGAUUCCCCUAGUAACGGCGAGCGAAACGGGAAUAGCCCAACUUGGAAAUCUCCUUUGGAGAAUUGUAGUCUAGAGAAGCGCCCUCUGCAGCGGCCGGGUCCCAAGUUCCCUGGAAGGGGACGUCAGAGAGGGUGAGAACCCCGUCGGACCUUGGCUUAGUUGCCUCACGAGGUGCUUUCGAAGAGUCGGGUUGUUUGGGAAUGCAGCCCUAAAUUGGUGGUAAAUCCCAUCUAAGGCUAAAUAUUGACGAGAGACCGAUAGCGAACAAGUACCGCGAGGGAAAGAUGAAAAGAACUUUGAAAAGAGAGUUAAAAAGUGCUUGAAAUUGUUGAGGGGGAAGCGAUUGGCAGCUGUGUGUGCGCCUAGGCUUACGCCGUUCUAACGAGCGGCUGCAUGUGCUAGGUGCUGGUCAGCAUGGGUUGGCUUGGCAGGAUAAACGCGGGGGUUGUUACCUCGUCAAUGCUGUCGAGCCGACCAAGGUGUGAAGGUCGCCCCAGUCUUUGAACUGCGGCCUCAAGAUGCUGGCGGAAGGCUUUCAAUCGGCCCGUCUUGAAACACGGACCAAGGAGUCUAACAUGUAUGCGAGCUGGUGGGUGGAAAACCCAUGAAGCGCAAGUAACCUGACUGGUGGGAUGGCUUAUGCCUGCACCAUCGACCGACCAUGAUCUUCUGUGAAAGGUUUGAGUUCGAGCAUACCUGUUGGGACCCGAAAGAUGGUGAACUAUGCCUGAGCAGGGCGAAGCCAGAGGAAACUCUGGUGGAGGCUCGUAGAUGUGCUGACGUGCAAAUCGCUUUUCGGACUUGGGUAUAGGGGCGAAAGACUAAUCGAACCAUCUAGUAGCUGGUUCCCUCCGAAGUUUCCCCCAGGAUAGCUGGAGCUUGUAUAGUUUUAUCGGGUAAAGCUAAUGAUUAGAGGUUCGGGGGAUGAAACAUCUUCCACCUAUUCUCAAACUUUAAAUAGGUAAGACGUAUAGGUUGCUUAAUUGAACCUAUGCAUUCAAUAAAAGCUCCAAGUGGGCCAUUUUUGGUAAGCAGAACUGGCGAUGCGGGAUGAACCGAUAGUCGAGUUAAGGUGCCGGACUACGCGCUAACCUAGAUCCCACAAAGGGUGUUGAUUGAUACAGACAGCAGGACGGUGGUCAUGGAAGUCGAAAUCCGCUAAGGAGUGUGUAACAACUCACCUGCCGAAUCAAUUAGCCCCGAAAAUGGAUGGCGCUGAAGCGCGUGACCUAUACUCGGCCAUAGGGUUUAAUCGAAAACCCUAUGAGUAGGAGGGCGUGGGUGUCGCUGCGCAGCCUGUGGCGUGAGCCAGGGUGAAGCGGCACCUAGUGCAGAUCUUGGUGGUAGUAGCAAAUAUUCAAAUGAGAACUUUGAAGACUGAAGUGGAGAAA